rnacentral:rRNA from 1 species
UAGGGAAUCUUCGGCAAUGGACGAAAGUCUGACCGAGCAACGCCGCGUGAGUGAAGAAGGUUUUCGGAUCGUAAAGCACUUUCGACGGGGACGAUGAUGACGGUACCCGUAGAAGAAGCCCCGGCUAACUUCGUGCCAG